UGGAAUCUCAGAGUUGUUUUGAUUUGCAUUUCCCUGAUGAUUAAGGAGGUUGAGCAUUUCUUUAAGUGUUUCUCAGCCAUUUGAUAUUCCUCUGUUGAGAAUUCUCUGUUUAGUUCCAAGCCCCAUUUCUCAAUUGGGUUAUUUGGUUUGGUGGUGUUUAAUUUCUUGAGUUCUUUAUAUAUUUUGGAUAUUAGACCUUUGUCAGAUGUCGGGUUGGUGAAGAUCUUUUCCCAGUCUGUAGGCUGUCACUUUGUUCUCUUGACAGUGUCUCCUGCCUUACAGAAGCUUCUCAGCCUCAUGAGGUCCCAUUUAUUAAUGGUUGACAUUAAGGCCUGGGCCGUUGGUGUUCUGUUCAGGAAGUUGUCUCCUGUGUCAAUAUGUUCCAGGCUCUUCCCCACUUUUUCUUCUAAGUGACUUAGUGUCU